CCCUUUGUGACAUACCUAACCGUUGCUUCGGCGGGCAGGGGAAGCCUCUCGCGGGCCUCCCCUCCCGGCGCCGGCCCCCACCACGGGGACGGGGCGCCCGCCGGAGGAAACCAAACUCUAUUUACACGACGUCUCUUCUGAGUGGCACAAGCAAAUAAUUAAAACUUUUAACAACGGAUCUCUUGGUUCUGGCAUCGAUGAAGAACGCAGCGAAAUGCGAUAAGUAAUGUGAAUUGCAGAAUUCAGUGAAUCAUCGAAUCUUUGAACGCACAUUGCGCUCGCCAGCAUUCUGGCGAGCAUGCCUGUUCGAGCGUCAUUUCAACCCUCAAGCACCGCUUGGUUUUGGGGCCCCACGGCACACGUGGGCCCUUAAAGGUAGUGGCGGACCCUCCCGGAGCCUCCUUUGCGUAGUAACUAACGUCUCGCACUGGGAUUCGGAGGGACUCUUGCCGUAAAACCCCCAAAUUUUUUACAGGUUGACCUCGGAUCAGGUAGGAAUACCCGCUGAACUUAAGCAUAUCAAUAAG
rnacentral:rRNA from 1 species